GACGAACGCUGGCGGCGUGCUUAACACAUGCAAGUCGAACGGAAAGGCCCUGCUUUUGUGGGGUGCUCGAGUGGCGAACGGGUGAGUAACACGUGAGUAACCUGCCCUUGACUUUGGGAUAACUUCAGGAAACUGGGGCUAAUACCGUAUAGGAGCUCCUGCUGCAUGGUGGGGGUGGGAAAGUUUCGGCGGGUGGGGAUGGACUCGCGGCUUAUCAGCUUGUUGGUGGGGUAGUGGCUUACCAAGGCUUUGACGGGUAGCCGGCCUGAGAGGGUGACCGGCCACAUUGGGACUGAGAUACGGCCCAGACUCCUACGGGAGGCAGCAGUGGGGAAUACUGCACAAUGGGCGGAAGCCUGAUGCAGCAACGCCGCGUGCGGGAUGACGGCCUUCGGGGUGUAAACCGCUUUCGCCUGUGACGAAGCGUGAGUGACGGUAAUGGGUAAAGAAGCACCGGCUAACUACGUG
rnacentral:rRNA from 1 species